rnacentral:lncRNA from 1 species
UUUCUACAAGUACAUUUGAACAUGGAAAUAUCUUAUGGCCACUAUGGCAAUAUUAAAAAAUUACUGUAUCCAAAAUGUCAGCGUUUCUUUAGACUAUAGACUCUUAAUGGAAAGAUUUCGUAGUAAGGAAGGAAAAACAUGCAUCGUAAGAUGUGACAUGAAAGUGAAAUGAGAGACUUUUGAACCAAUCACCUCAUUUUCAAGAAAUUUGCUUCAGUUAUAUUGAAACCAUGCAAGUUAGCCUAAUGUAAUCUUAUCUGGUAAUCAGUAUAAAUGAAUAAUCUUAACAUUUCUCCACUUUUUGUGCAUAUGCCUCUGAAGUUUCUUACUAAAAGAUUAAGUAAAAUUUUGGACCCAGCAUGCACUUAUUCUUACUCUCUUUCAAGCUGAUUCACAAAGGAGAAUGCUCAACAGUCUUCUAUGACCCAGUAGGCAUAGCAGGCCAGAAGUACUGAGAAGAAAGUGCUGGCCUGCAAUCUGUCCUUCCCUAUAUGGUUCCCAAGGUUUGCGGGCUCUUCUCCGUCUGAUGGUGUGUUGCUGCCACCUAUCGCCACGUUUGAAUAGUUCGCUACAAAACAGACUUGCACAACAUAUUGCAGAUGUUCAUCCACAGUAAAUCAGAUUCUCCAAAGGUAAGCGCCAUAAAAAGCAGAGCCUUCGAUUUGUUCUCCAGCAUGGCCUCUGAAAUAGUCUGGUCCACAGAAGACUUUCAUUCAAUGACCAAAUAAUCUCUGUUCUGCCACUAGUGUCAUUCUGUGAUCUC